GACAGAGGGUGCAAACGUUGUUCGGAAUUACUGGGCGUAAAGCGUGUGUAGGCGGCUUGGCAAGUCGGAUGUGAAAGCCCUGGGCUCAACCCAGGAAGUGCACUCGAUACUGCCGAGCUUGAGUAUCGGAGAGGUUGGUGGAAUUCUCGGUGUAGAGGUGAAAUUCGUAGAUAUCGGGAGGAACACCAGUGGCGAAGGCGGCGACCUGGGCCAAUAUUGACGCUGAGGUGCGAAAGCGUGGGGAGCAAACAGG
rnacentral:rRNA from 1 species